ACGGAAGGCAGCAGUGGGGAAUAUUGCACAAUGGGGGAAACCCUGAUGCAGCAACGCCGCGUGAGGGAAGAAGGUCUUCGGAUUGUAAACCUCUGUUUUUAGUGACGAAACAAAUGACGGUAGCUAAAGAGGAAGCCACGGCUAACUACGUGCCAGCAGCCGCGGUAAUACGUAGGUGGCAAGCGUUGUCCGGAUUUACUGGGUGUAAAGGGUGCGCAGGCGGGACUGCAAGUUGGAUGUGAAAUGCUGAGGCUCAACCUCAGAACUGCAUCCAAAACUGUAGUUCUUGAGUGGAGUAGAGGUAAGCGGAAUUCCGAGUGUAGCGGUGAAAUGCGUAGAUAUUCGGAGGAACACCAGUGGCGAAGGCGGCUUACUGGGCUCUAACUGACGCUGAGGCACGAAAGUGUGGGUAGCAAACAGGAUUAGAUACCCUGGUA
rnacentral:rRNA from 1 species